rnacentral:rRNA from 1 species
CCCGCUGAACUUAAGCAUAUCAGUAAGCGGAGGAAAAGAAACUAACGAGGAUUCCCCUAGUAACUGCGAGUGAACAGGGAUCCCGCUGCUCGACGCUCAAGCCCCGUUAAAUGGCGAGAUGGGCAAGUUUACUUGUUUACCGUCUCCUCGUAGGGGCAGUUUGGCGGAAUGCGUACGCUGCGAUCCAAAAUUGGCGUGCGGCUGUGGGCUUGCACAAGUCCUCGUGACCGUGGCUGUUGUACCCAGAGAGGGUGACAGGCCCGUGCUGGAUAACCUUCGGGUUACGGAGCCCUUUGGCCCGCGCUAGGAUCGAUGUGGUGCGCGAAGAGUCAGAUUGCUUGAGAGUGUAAUCCAAAGAAAGGUGGUAAACUCCAUCAAAAGCUAAAUAAUUUUCCACCAGACCGAUAGCGAACAAGUACCGUGAGGGAAAGAUGAAAAGCACUUUGGAAAGAGAGUUAAACAGUACGUGAAAUUGUUGAAAGGGAAACGUUUGAAGUCAGUCGCGUCGGCCGAGACUCAGCCUCGCUUUUUCAGCUUGGUGCACUUCUCGGUUGACGGGUCAGCAUCAAUUUUGAUCGCCGGAAAAGGGCUGGGGGAAUGUGGCAUCUCUCGAGAUGUGUUAUAGCCCUCGGUUCGCAUACGGCGGUUGGGAUUGAGGAACUCAGCGCGCCUUUAUGGUCGAGGCUUUUGCCUACGCAACGCGCUUAGGAUGCUGGCAUAAUGGCUUUAAGCGACCCGUCUUGAAACACGG